CAGCUUCUAAAGCUACUUUCCUUGGCUCAUGGGCUCUUCCUCCACCUCCAAAGACAGCACUAUCUUCGAAUCUUUCUCUCUGCUUCCAUUAUUACAUCAUCUUCCACCCUCUGUGUCUCAUAGAAUCUCUCUUUCCUUCCAGAGCCUGUCCAGAUCAUCCAGGAUAAGCUCCAUCUCAAAUUCCUCAACAUAAUCUCAUCUGCAGAGCUCUGUCAACCAUUUUUGCCACCCUCAGAUUCCUCAUCUGGAAGUGAUAUAUGCAAAUAUGAAGUAAAUUAGGAAGGCUGAUCUGCCACUGGACUGGUAGAAGGGGAAGGCAGGAGCUGAAGAGCACCUUGUCUUGGGCAAAUGAGACCUGACACUACUCCUCUCUUCCCCAUGUGUUUCUCCCCUCCACACUGGCCAGAGUUCCUGAUGAGGACGUGGUAGUACAAGCAAAGAAAUCUGGAGCUGGAGCUCCUACGAUCUGAGUUCAAGUCCCAGCCCUGUCAGCAACUUGCAGCAUGACCUCAGAUGAGGCCGUGUAUGGUAUAAAAGGUUCUGCUCUGGAAAUCGAGAGACCUGGAUCCCAACUUCAAUUCUCUUAUCACCUGACGGAAUAACUUGAAAGGAGUCAACCCUUCCAAGCUGAAACUUUAAGAGUUUCAAGAGUCAAAACAGCUGAGUCAAUGCUCUGAAGGACUCUAUUUCCUCCUCUGUAGAACAGCAGCAGUGGAGCACAGAGAAGCAGAGCAUUUUGGGGACGAGAUGCCAGCCUCAAAUCCACUUCCUAGACACAGGGCAAUCUCUUCAAAUAAGCGAAUCACUUACUAACCCCAUCUGUGCCUUAGUUUCCUCAUUUGUCAGUGGAGAUGAUAGCAGGACUGACCUCAGGGGUUGUUCUGAGGAUUAAAUGGAAUAAUCCUGCACAUAGAGCCUUUUGCAGGUCCCAAGCACACAGCGAGCUUUGGAUAUCUGGUGGCUAUUUUUGCCCUUGUUAUGUAUCAUUCCAGAGUUGUGUAACCUGUGGCCUCGCCAACUUGACACAACUCCUAUGCCCUGUAAAAGUCAAAGGACAUUUCACAGAGGAGACAAUGUCUGGCAGAAGUUUAAAGGGUUCCCUUCUCCCAGUCCCACCUGCCCUGCCUCUAAUGCCUUUCCUGGCUUCAGAAAGAAGAAACAGAUUCCCCAGGGGCUCCAGGCACAAGGCCGGGACCCCUGAUGAGCUAAUCCAGGUGGGAUGAGUAUGUGUCUCUAUCCUGACAGGGUCUGCUGAAUAGCACUGCCAAAUUCUAUUUCCUUUCCAUUUAGUGAAGUGGAUAGAAAUAAUGCAGGCUUAACCUUUUCCCACUUUCCCUGCCAGCAUUUAUUCAGAGACGGUUUUGUUGUUGUUACUGAUUUUGCUGUUUUUGUUUUAUUGUGAUUCUUCAGGUUAGAAUACGUAUUUAUUUUGUAG